rnacentral:rRNA from 1 species
AUGGCUCAGGACGAUCGCUAGCGACAGGCCUAACACAUGCAAGUCGAGGGGCAUCGGGGCGAGGAGCAAUCCUUGCCGCCGGCGACCGGCGCACGGGUGAGUAACGCGUAUGCGACCUGCCCGUUGCAGGGGGAUAAUCGGGAGAAAUCCCGUCUAAUACCGCGUAAUGCCGCGGGGCUGCAUGGCCCUGCGGCCAAAGGAAGCGAUUCCGGCAACGGAUGGGCAUGCGUGACAUUAGCUAGUUGGCGGGGCAACGGCCCACCAAGGCGACGAUGUCUAGGGGUUCUGAGAGGAAGGUCCCCCACACUGGUACUGAAACACGGACCAGACUCCUACGGGAGGCAGCAGUGAGGAAUAUUGGUCAAUGGGCGCGAGCCUGAACCAGCCAAGUCGCGUGAGGGAUGACGGCCCUACGGGUCGUAAACCUCUUUUGUCGGGGAGCAAAUUCCCCCACGUGUGGCGGAGUCGAGAGUACCCGAAGAAAAAGCAUCGGCUAACUCCGUGCCAGCAGCCGCGGUAAUAUGGAGGAUGCGAGCGUUAUCCGGAUUUAUCGGGUUUAAAGGGUGCGUAGGCGGACUGUCAAGUCAGCGGUAAAAUACGGGGGCUCAACCUCCGCCCGCCGUUGAAACUGACGGUCUUGAGUGGGCGAGAAGUAUGCGGAAUGCGUGGUGUAGCGGUGAAAUGCAUAGAUAUCACGCAGAACUCCGAUUGCGAAGGCAGCAUACCGGCGCCCAACUGACGCUGAAGCACGAAAGCGUGGGUAUCGAACAGGAUUAGAUACCCUGGUAGUCCACGCAGUAAACGAUGAAUACUAGCUGUCCGGGGCGAAUGAGCCCUGGGUGGCACAGCGAAAGCGUUAAGUAUUCCACCUGGGGAGUACGCCGGCAACGGUGAAACUCAAAGGAAUUGACGGGGGCCCGCACAAGCGGAGGAACAUGUGGUUUAAUUCGAUGAUACGCGAGGAACCUUACCCGGGCUCAAACGACACAGGAACGUACCUGAAAGGGUUCGGCUCUACGGAGCCUGUGUCGAGGUGCUGCAUGGUUGUCGUCAGCUCGUGCCGUGAGGUGUCGGCUUAAGUGCCAUAACGAGCGCAACCCCCAUCGACAGUUGCUAACAGGUCAGGCUGAGGACUCUGUCGAGACUGCCGGCGCAAGCUGCGAGGAAGGCGGGGAUGACGUCAAAUCAGCACGGCCCUUACGUCCGGGGCGACACACGUGUUACAAUGGCAGGUACAGCGGGAAGCCACCUGGCGACAGGGAGCGGAACCCGAAAGCCUGUCUCAGUUCGGAUUGGAGUCUGCAACCCUACUCCAUGAAGCUGGAUUCGCUAGUAAUCGCGCAUCAGCCACGGCGCGGUGAAUACGUUCCCGGGCCUUGUACACACCGCCCGUCAAGCCAUGGAAGCCGGUGGUGCCUGAAGUGCGCUGCCGCGAGGAGCGCCCUAGGGUAAAACCGGUGACUGGGGCUAAGUCGUAACAAGGUAGCCGU